UACGGAGGGUGCGAGCGUUGUCCGGAAUCACUGGGCGUAAAGGGCGCGUAGGUGGCUUCUCAAGCGCGCGGUGAAAGCCCCGGGGCUCAACCCCGGGUCGGCCGUGCGGACUGGGAGGCUCGAGCACUGUAGGGGCGGGUGGAAUUCCGGGUGUAGCGGUGGAAUGCGUAGAGAUCCGGAAGAACACCGGUGGCGAAGGCGGCCCGCUGGGCAGGAAGACCUCGUAAGAGGUCGGCUGACACUGAGGCGCGACAGCGUGGGGAGCAAACGGG
rnacentral:rRNA from 1 species